AACGAACGCUGGCGGCAUGCCUAACACAUGCAAGUCGAACGAGACCUUCGGGUCUAGUGGCGCACGGGUGCGUAACGCGUGGGAACCUGCACUUAGGUUCGGAAUACCUCCCCGAAAGGGGUGCUAAUACCGGAUAAUGUCUUAGGACCAAAGAUUUAUUGCCUCUGGUUGGGCCCGCGUUGGAUUAGCUAGUUGGUAGGGUAAUAGCCUACCAAGGCGACGAUUCAUAGCUGGUCUGAGAGGAUGAUCAGCCACACUGGGACUGAGACACGGCCCAGACUCCUACGGGAGGCAGCAGUGGGGAAUAUUGGACAAUGGGCGAAAGCCUGAUCCAGCAAUGCCGCGUAAGUGAUGAAGGCCGUAGAGUUGUAAAGCUCUUUUACCCGGGAUGAUAAUGACAGUACCGGGAGAAUAAGCUCCGGCUAACUCCGUG
rnacentral:rRNA from 1 species